rnacentral:rRNA from 1 species
UACGUAGGGUGCGAGCGUUGUCCGGAAUUAUUGGGCGUAAAGAGCUUGUAGGCGGUUUGUCGCGUCUGCUGUGAAAAUCCGGGGCUCAACCCCGGACUUGCAGUGGGUACGGGCAGACUAGAGUGUGGUAGGGGAGACUGGAAUUCCUGGUGUAGCGGUGAAAUGCGCAGAUAUCAGGAGGAACACCGAUGGCGAAGGCGGCUAUCUGGCGGUGCACUGACGCUAAGGCGCGAAAGCGUGGGGAGCAAACAGG